AUAAGUUUUUUAAACAGUAUAAAAUCCUUCAAGAAUAAUAAAAAUGGCUUGAUGAACCCCAGGGAUAAAAAUUUUAUCAUUGAAACAAAAUUUCAAUAAGAUAAUAAUCCUAGAAUCUAACACAGUGCCUAAAACUAGAAUGCCAAACACCAGCAAUUUUUCCUCCUAGCUUUUUAAUUUUCUCCCAUACACACUAAAAAGGAAAUCUUACUUCCAAGCCUAGAAAUAGGCAAUUUUUAAUAUUUAUUGUUGCAAGGAACAAUAAAUAGCUCCUCUAUUUUCACAAAUAAGUGCUGACAUUGAGCCAAAAAACAUUUCUUUUACUUUCACAACUGUAAGCAUUAACAGGAAUAAUUCCUCUCUCAUUAGUUUCUAGUCAGUCUCUUUCAUUACACUUCCUUUAAUUGCCAUCACAGAAAUGUCUGCAUUUUAUAUUCCAUGAUUCUAAGGUGUUUAAUUUAUAUACCAUCUCCACACUUAGUGUCUUAUAUGCUCUUCCAGGAAUUUUUAAAGUUUUAUUAUACUGGCAAGAAAAGAUUUAGUAAACUCAGAAUGUCUUCAGGACUUCUCAGAUAUAUACCUGUAUUAAAUGUACAAAAACUCUUACAGUUCCAGAUGGUCCAGAUUGGAGGUUUAUAUGGUGAACCUCCUUUUCCUCACCAGCUCAUACCUUAACCCUAGGCAAUACAGGUUUUUUUUCCCAUUGUUCUAUGAACAACAUGGCCCUUGAACUAUAGGUUGCAUUUAAUUUUCUUGGGUGGAACACAGGGUCAAAAUACAAAAAAUUAGAAAAUUUGCACAAAGAAAAUCUACAAUCCUUUCGACUAGCUUAAGUCUGGUGUAUUUUCAACUGUUCUCUCUUCAAUACCCGGGACUGAAUCCAGAGCGUCAUGUUAUGUUAGACAAGUCCUCUACCACUUGAGCUAAGCCUUCAACCCCCAGCUAGUCUCUUUUUAUGUAUAUCAAUACAAUACUUUUGUUUUAAUAAAAGGCAUAUUCUGAUUUGAAGUCUGUUUCUUCCAUCUAUAGAUAUAUCAGUUUCUCACACUGACAUUCUUCUAUAAUGCUUGCUGCAUUAAUUCUAUCAUAUCAGGGGUCUUUACCAUAAAUUCCUUAAUGCUUUCCCUAGACACUUAAGAGUUUAUAUUUUUUCCAAAAGCAUAAAGCUUUGCUCACAGCUCUGACGACUUCCUUGAGAUAAACUCUGAAUGGUACUGGUGGCUCAAAAGCCAUGUCCAUUUUAUGACUUUUAACAUACUGAAAAGUUAAGAGUGUUCAUCUUCUCUACCUGUUCCUUCACAUUGGUUGAUGAUUUCAUUCUGAAAUCUGAAAAUCUGAAAAGAAAAAACAUGUCAAACUCUUUUCAUGCCAUUCGUGUUACUUUUCCUUUCUUUACCAAUCAUACGGGUUUACCCACACCUCCAAUCAAUCUUCCACAUUUGAAUUUGCCAACAUUGUUCAAGAGAUUGUUUCACCAGAAAAAUCCAAACCCUUAUCCACUUCACCCAACCCAUGCCUACCCAUCCCAGAUCCUACUGUACUAGUUGCUUCCAGGAAUAUGACACUUUACACAUCCUUGUCUUCAUAUACAUAGACUGCAUCUUAUAAAACAGUUACUCCAUGGUAAGGGCCCCACAGAGUCCCAAUAUGCUAAUACCCCAGUGAUGUUUAAUAAUUUUCAUCCAUAUGGGUCCUCCGUGGAGGAAAAGGAGAAGAAACUCCCUUAAAGGCUGGAAUGCAAGGGACAAGCCUUUGAGAUUUUGAAAACUGUAAGAGAAGGCCAUCAGAGAAUCCAACAGCAGACAUUCAAGCAAGGAAAAUUUAAGUAUUGUCCCUAGUAAUGCCUGAGAUACCAAAUAGAGCAAGGACCCACGUAGUCCGGCAGCCUGGAGUGCGCAGGGUGAGACGACCUACAAGGAGUGCUGGACUCUCCGUGACCCGUCGCCGGGAUUCUGGUUUCUAUUUUUAGGUAGCAGUGCUUUAUUCUCCAAGCUGGAGUUCCUGGAAACGAUGGCAAGACCAAAUGUUCCUUUUCCAUCCUUCCGGGGAAGGGUGGUAGCCCUGUUUGUAAGUGCUGCCUGGUGAGCCUGCGCUUUGCGGCUCGCUGGUGAGCCUGGAGAUUGGGCUGCUGCCAGAGCGCUGGGAGGCUGGGGAAUGGGCGACCAGCUGAACCCAGUAUCAGCCCAACCCCGGCCACGCCCCGUCCCCCCCUCGAGGGCCUGCGCCGAGGCCACGCCUUGCUGCCCGCCGAUUGGCUCAGCCCGCUCCGCCUGGAGUCACUUCCGUCUGGCACGCGGCCCCGGCCACGCCCCUGUCUUGCGGCCCGGCCGACUUUGUGAGUUUGGGGGAUUGUUGCGUCUGAUAACCAGGCUCAAAAAGGGCACCCCUGCCGGGCUGGCGCUCAGUCUCCCCCGUCCAUCACCCGCAAGAUGAUGGCGUCUUCAGCGCCGCGCACGACGCCUCUCCGCUGCGGCGUGAGCCCCAGUGCCUUCCAGUGGUUCCUGAUUGGGAUCUUUGCGGUGGCGGUGGCAGUCCUGCUGUCUCCAUACUCCGAUGCUUGUGAAUUGCCCCCACCAUUUGAAGGUAUGGAGCCCACUACUACACCCAAACCCUAUUAUGAGGUUGGGGAAAAAUUACAGUAUAAGUGUAAAAAAGGAUAUCUAUAUCUGCUCCCGUAUCUCACCAUUGCUACCUGUGAGCGGAAUCAUUCAUGGACACCUAUUACAGAUGACGGUUGUCUUAAACACCAGUGUAAUUUUCUAUAUAAUCCUCCGUAUGGCCAAGUACACUAUAUAACUGGAGGUUUUUCAUGGGGAAAUAAGGUUCUCUUUACUUGUCAUGAGGGUUAUUACUUAAUUGGUAAUGCAACUCUGAAUUGUGAGCUUAAAGAUGAUGAUGCAUUUUGGGACAGUAAUCCCCCACGAUGUGAAAAGAUCUUGUGUGCACCACCUCCAAAAAUAAAAAAUGGAACACACACCUUCACUGAUAUAGAAGUAUUUAAAUAUCGUGAAGCAGUAGUCUACAGUUGUGAUCGUAUCCCUGGACCAGAUCAAUUUUCACUUGUUGGAAAGAGUAUGCUUUAUUGUGCUGGUCACGGGGUCUGGAGUAGUGCUGCUCCUGAGUGCAAAGUGGUCAAAUGUCCGUUUCCAGUAGUCGAAAAUGGAAAACAGGUAUCAGGAUUUGCAAAGAAGUUUUCCUACAAUGCGACUGUUAUGUUUGAGUGCAACAAGGGUUAUUACUUCUUUAAUGACAGUGACAUCGCUACUUGUGACAGUAAUAGUACCUGGCACCCCUGGCUCCCAAGAUGUCUUAAAGUGCCACCUCCUCCCAGUAAAGAACUUCCAAGUUUUCAUUCAGUACCAACUCCUCCCAGUACCAAACCUCCAAUUUCCACGGUCUCAGGAUAUCCCAAUCCCCGUGAAGGACUAUUUGACCAAGAAUUAGAUGCAUGGAUCAUUGCUUUGAUUAUCAUUAUUGCAAUUGUUGCAGUUGCUGUAAUGUGUCUCUUCCUGUACAGAUUUUUCGAAAACAGGAAGAAAGGAAAACCACAGGCUGCUGCUGAACAGACUUGGCAUGAGGCUUCGAAGUUGCUGCUUUUCCCCCUACAUCAUAACCGAUUUCAAAUGGUGCUAGACAAAAACAGACUCUGAACACCAGGAGAAAUCGGUCAGCCUGUGUAAGAGAUGGGCCAGUGGUGCUCCUCAGGUCUGCACCUCAGGGCAGGUGGCAAGGCUGAGUUCAGGAUACUACGACAACCGGCGAGUACUCCAGGCAUCCUCUGGGAGCAGGUCAGCAGCGCUGAUGUGGAUGAAACAGCCCUCUAGGUUCAAAUAGCAAAAGGAGACGAACCCAUCCCAGGAGCAGCUCCUCUGGAGUCCGCCUCUGCCAUGCUGCAAUUCUUACUCCUAAAACACUGAUUUCAAAUGGUGCUAGAUACAAAGAUGGAAAAAUCUAAGCCACCAUGUGAAACCAGCUUCCAGAAGAAGAGGAUCUCACUGAAGAACGCAGGGAGGUGCAAGUGGACGACCCAGUCUCUGCCCUGAGGAGAAAUAUCUUCUUGCUGUUUGUUCUGCUUGUAACACGAUGGAACGACCCGUUAGAAAACACAGAGGGGAGUCACACAGUGCUGCUCAAAGCAACAGCAAAGUCAUGGCCAAUGCUCCAAACAGACAAGAGCAAUACAACACUCGCUAAUUCUAACUUUACGACUAGCCACUAUACAUUAUUACGUAUGAUAAAAUAAAGCCACUAUUGAAACAUUUACAUUUGUAGUGCCCUGCAUUUAUAUAGGAUUUCCCAGCAUGCAAAGUGUUUACAGAUAUAUUAUCUCACAGUACCAGGACACAAGCACCCUACAUGCUCUCUAGCAACCACUCAACAAAGGUGAGUUUCACCUGUGCCAGGGCAAUUCUUCCAUGUGCCCUAUUCAGACAGAGCAUGGCUCCUCCUUCCCAUCCUGUAUGUAAGUAUCAGAAUAUUCAAAUAUGACUCCAUUAAGUGCCAAUCUGAUUUAACCUCUGGGAAGACUUAAAGAGCUAGUAUCCUAUCAUUGCAUUACAAAGAUAAUUCUCUAACACAAAAAUUAAGUUUUGUUUUAAAAUUUGCCUGAAAAUAAGGUUUACUUACUAACCAUGUUCCAAAUUAGAUUUCGUCUUUCCCAUUAUCUUUUUUUUUUUUUUUUGGUGAUUUAACACUAAGAAAAUAUGUGUGCUUCACGCUGAUGUCAUAACCCAGAGAAAGAAAAGAAAAAGAAUAGAAGCUGCAUGUUUUAGGUUUCCUACCAACUCUUUAGGCCUCCAGAUAUAGGCUUAACUAUUUUAUGGUAACAUUGUGCAGCUAUGGGAGGAAAGAAAUGAACAUCAAGAUUUGUGUGAUUUAAUUUUCACAAGAGUCCUGCAAAGUGGGUUUUGUUCCAAUUUUUACAGAACAAAAAUAUAUGGCUUGUCUACAGUCAUAAGAUCAAUAGAUAAAUAUCCCAGGUCUGAUUCCCCAGUCUGUGUUCCUGCAUCUCUGCCCCCUGCUGCCAGCUCCAUAGCUUGACUAUCACCUAAUUUUCGGCAAGCUAUGGGAAGGGGGAAUGUAGGUGAGGCAAGGUAUCAGCAUGGAAGUUGGAUAUUGAAUAUAUAACACAUUAUACCCAGGUGAAUUAGGGGCAUGAUUUUGGUUCUACAAGGAGUCAGAUGGUUGAGGGGAGCCAGUCUUUCCUCUCCUGCACCUCUGGUAACUCUGUGGUCCUCCCCAGCAAGAGGGAAGAUGCCAGCAAUAAAUCCACCCUAGUGAUUCUGACACAGCAAUAGGCUAUGCAGCCUACGCUGAGAUUUUCUAAGGGCUUGGUGACAGGUGGGAGAGCUGAAGGGCAGAUCUGCGUACAGGUGCUCUGAGUGAUGACAUCUGGAACCAGCUCUGAGGCUUUGUGAACCAGGUGGCAUCGAGGGCUCUAGGGUCAGGGGUGAAUGUUACACAUGAUGGCUAUUACCAGGAUCUAAAUCCUGUAGAAUGAGGGGGGCUAGAGAGAUUUACACUUGAUUAUUCUCAGUUUUUCUACUCUUCAUUUUAGCCAAACUCUCCCUUAGUAACUUCCUGUUGCCAGUAUCUACAAAGCCCCUUCCCGUGUACUUGCACAGGUGUUCUGCAGGAAUGCAGAAGGUAUGCUUCCUUCUACAAGGCCCUGCCUGUGCUGUGCCCUCUGGCUGGAAUCUCUCCAUCCACUCCCUCACCUACCACCCCCAAUCAUCCUUCAAUCUCAGCUCAAGCAAGCCACCCCCGAGUCUAGCCUGGUUUGCUCUCCUGAAGAAUGCACCUACCUCAUUUGGUAGUCAGUGUGAUGUUGAACUAUUGUCUCUCCUGCUACCCAGGAAAUGAAGCUCCACGCCAGAAUUCAGGGAAAGUUCUGUGUCUAGCAAGAGAGCAACUAUCAGAGAGAACCAACAGACGGCAGUCAGGGGCCCAUUCUUGGGUUCUAAAACCUAACUCCUAGUUCUGGAAGAAGAGGUAAGAAGCCAUUGGCAGUGCACUGCUUUACACUAAAAUAAGAAGGGGAGGCUUGUGGAGUGGUUCAAGUGGUAGAGCGCCUGCCUAGCAAGCAUCAGGCCCUGAGUUCAAACCCCAGUACCACCAAAAAUGGGGGGGGAAGUAAUCCUAACAUACAAAUCUUUUGCCUUUCCAAUCCCAUUGGUAAAAGGGUCACUGAGGUCUCAGUUCUCCCAUCAGAAGUGGGGAUCUCUCCUCUUGAAGUCAGCUGAGCAAUGUCUCUUCUCUGAAACAAGCUGGCAGGUCUUCAUUAGUUGAGGGGUACCCAGGUAAUCUGACUAGGACUACAAGGGGGCCUAGCUCUCCCUGGGACUGAGCCUGAGGGCCACCUAGAUCUGUAAGAAGAUAUCCCAUGAAAUCCCCAGUCCUCUGGAGGCUCUGCUAUCCCAUGAGAGCAAUGGAAUUUACCCCCAUCCCUGCCUAAGGAGCCCAAGCAAACUGGCCAUGUUGAAGGGCUUGGGACUGCCUAAGAAAGUAAACCACCCAUCCAGGGAGUGGGGCUGUCAGGCCUAAGAAGUGCCACUGGGCAGGGAAGAAAUCCGGGGGAAUCAUACCCCAGCCCCAGCCUUCUUCUAUACCCACAUUCCAUCUGGUGGCGUUUCUCCCUCCUAUGCCAGGAUACUCUUCUACCCAGGUAAGGACCUGAAGGUGAAGGAACUUCUGCUUGGCCCAAAUGCCAAGAACAGGGCCCUGCCACUUGCCCCGAAUAAGCCUCGGUGUCUUUACUUGUAAAAAGGAGGCUAGGACUGGUCACCACACAUGCAAAUGCUCAGAGGGCUUGGGCAAGAAACACAGAAAGGCAGCAACAGUUUGCAGCAAAGAUACAGUGACCUGGAGGGGCCAUAUUCUGUCUAGAAGCAUACAAAAUCAGGUAUAGAAAACAAAACAAAAAAAAUGUGCAAGCCAAACAAAACACACCUGCGGGUUAAACACUUCAUGGGCUGUUGGUUAAAAACAAAGAUUCCAAACACCAUUUCUACUUUAUUGUAUAAAUGAUGCUGUGUUUUUUACAAUCCUAAAUAUCCUGGGCCCAGCACAGUGUCCAGAAAAAUUACCUGGGAGGAAAACGGGAAGGAGAGGGACUCCUUGUUUGUGAAAUCCAUAAGCAAACCCGCUGACCCAGUGAUGUUCGCCCUGGGAACCUCAUCCUGUUCGCCCUGGGAACCUCAUCCUGCUCGCCUGGCUGUGCUGGCCCAAUGUGUUCCUACGCAGAACGUGGGAAGGUUCCUGCCAAGGCAGCAGCUUCUCCCUCCUGACCUAGCACUGGGUGCUGAGUCACAGCUACUUACGUGACUGAUGCAAGCUCCAGCCAGAGUGGGGUGACUGAUGCAAGCUCCAGCCAGAGUGGGGGAGGGUGCCGGAAACUGAGCCCAUUGUCAGUCUUCUUGCCUCUGGGAAGGCUGGUCUAGGGGUUCCUGGUGAUGGUGGGAUGGGGUGUAGGGAAGGUUUUGCUUUUUGAAAAAAAUAGGGGACACCCUGCUCUCCAGACAGCCCCAGACUAUUGUGUAUGAGAACUGAACAGGCCGCUCAGCUUCCUGUCACUCUCAGCAGCAGCCCAGGCCCAGUGUCCCGGACAUUUUGUCUUUAGCUGUCAGGGUAGGGCCUGCUGCCAACAAGCUGUGGUUAAUGAAUCAGAGGAAGGGUGAUAAAAUGAAGAGUAUAUGCUGAGGGUAACAUGGGUAGAGAGGAACAUAGAGCUGGAUGGCCCAAAAUUCAAAAAGGAGGGCUCAGCAUUCAGGACCACUGCACUUUUGAGGCACUGAAUUCCAAAGUGGGAACAACAUCUUGAGAGUGAGCUUCUCAAGAGCCCACUUAGGUAACAGUGGGCCCAGCAUCAGCUUUCCUGGCUUCCCUUAGCUCAGAGGGAUGGAGGUCUAUGUUCCGGGGCAGCUGCACUCCUAAAAGUUAGGCUUCUGUCCCUCCACACUACUGACUGACCAAACCCGGGUCUUAAAACCUCCCAGACUCAGUGUCUGGCACUUCGGCCCUGUGUCCAGACACCGGCUAGAGAGGAGGGUGCACCAUGGUUGCCCUGCCCAAGAUGAGAUGGGCAUGGGGGCAAGCUGGGAACAGUGGGGAGCAAGGGAGGAAGGAAGGAAGGAUGGAGCCAAGGCUGGAGCUCAAUAUUCCAUGCUCCCCUGGCUACAGAUAGGGCUUAGCUCUCACAGGGGAGGAUGGGCACUGCCCAAAAUGCUUUCAAGGAAGCCAUAGCUUUUUACGAAAGGAAAGGUGAGUAUGCCGAUGGUCUGUUACACAAACACAAUGCCCAUCACACAGUUCACAGGUCAUAGACCAACGUGCUCCAAAGGAAAACCACCAACGCCCCUCCGUCGUCGUCAUCACUCCCUACUCAUCUAUUUGGCUCAGUGGAGAUGGACACAGAAGUUAAACUUGGGCCUCAGGUGAGACCUAACGAACUCUACAGACAGGAGCAGAGGUGCCCCAGAGCCCAGCCUUCCUACCUGCUCCAGGCAGAGCUGCUCACCCCCACCUUUAGCUGACAAGAAGUAACCAACAGACACAGUGUCCUACCCAGUACCACACUCACAGGGCUGCGUGCGAGGUCCCCAGAAGCUCCUCUGGAGCCUGCCAGGCCUCUCCGGAGGAGAACAGCACCUCACACAGGACAGGACAUACAACAGUCAGACAUCCUCCCCAAAGCACAGCCCAAGGCCGGCACCAGGAAGCCAGAGUGGAUCCACCAACCUCCCAGGAGCAGUUCUAAGCAGUGCCUGGGCACACACCUGGCGGAGCACAUGGUCUGGGGCACACCCUGUGAGGUGGAGUCACUCCAGUUCCCCAGCUGGGGGAGGGAGGCUGGGCCAGGCAGAGGUAGGUCUGAGUCCAAAGCCAAUGCAAGCCGGUUUCUCUCCUGCUUCCCCUUUGGCUGGCCCAGCUGUAGCUGCACGUACAUUGCUAUUACAGCCUCAUUCUGUUAUCGGGACCUCUGUUUGCCAGUCUCAAGAACAGUGAGUAGCAGUAGAGGGAAGAGGAGGAGGAGGAGGAGGGAGGGGUACAGGGAAGAAGGAAGGGAAGGGAGAGGAGGUGAGAGGAAGCUUCAUGGUCUAAUGCAUUCCCCUCACUUGAGAGACAGGGGAACACACACAACUUCCCCUUUUUAAGUGCUUCUCUGCCCUCCUUUCAUUUCAGUUCCUUCCCCUCUGGACUGGGGAUGGCCCAGCGAGUGAACUAGGCAGGGGCAGGCGCCCAGGUACCCAGCCAACUGGGCUCUCGCCCGGCUCCAGCUCAGGCCUGGCACGCUCCCUGGGGCCGUUACCCGGCAUGCCCUUCUCCUUGUUGGGAGGCCUCGCCCUCUUGUUUUCAAAGUUUUAUAACAGUAUUGUUUGUUGUCCAGCAGAUUAAA